UACGAAGGGGGCUAGCGUUGCUCGGAAUCACUGGGCGUAAAGCGCACGUAGGCGGAUCUUUAAGUCAGGGGUGAAAUCCUGGAGCUCAACUCCAGAACUGCCCUUGAUACUGGGGAUCUUGAGUCCGGAAGAGGUGAGUGGAACUCCGAGUGUAGAGGUGAAAUUCGUAGAUAUUCGGAAGAACACCAGUGGCGAAGGCGGCUCACUGGUCCGGUACUGACGCUGAGGUGCGAAAGCUAGGGGAGCGAACAGG
rnacentral:rRNA from 1 species